ACGAAAUUCUGAUACAGUUUGCCAAGUCAGAUAGAAGGGGGAAAAAAUACCUUAAAAAGCCCGGUAGAAAGUAUAAACUAGGACCAAAUCAAAACAAGCGGUAGUGCAGAAGUAAAAGAAGAUUUUUUUAUUUACAAAGGCAUAUUAGUUAAACGAAGAUUGCGAAAAGAAGACGGAGAAGAGUCGGUAGGAGUGACGUAUCUCCGUUAGAGAG
rnacentral:misc_RNA from 1 species